ACCAGUAUAAUCCUUCUGCCACAAAGCCUUUCUCAAAUUAGAAAAUGAAUGAGAAUAACUUUUCCAAAAAGAGGAGCGAUUCCAACAAUUACAAACGCAUGCAUCAGCAUCUGUCAUCAGAUCCAGACUAAUUUACUCAAAAGUUAUUCGAUAUAAACAAGAAUAGGCAUCUCGAUUGAUAGCUGCAACGUGGAUGUCACGACUGGUUUCAAAACCAGUAUAAAUAUGGAUUAAAGGUUCUAGGAUAUGGCAGGAUCAACGAAAAUGAGGGCUCACUCUUUCUUUUUCAUCCUUCUCUCUGUUUCAAUGGUGGUGGUGCUGCCAUCUUCGGUCGCCCUCGCCCCAUCCUCUAUGCUCGGCUCACUGGCUCAGGAUCAAGUUGUCCCAAAAAAUAUUUCAUCGGAUGGUCCCUUUGCAACAGGAGAUUGCAAUUACAGGUGCAAAUGCUGCUACUGCUGGCGAUAUGGCCGGAAGACUCCAAAGUGCUUGAUUUGCUGCGCCAACUGAGCCGACGCUGUUAAGACUGUGGCGGUGCAAAGAGAGAGAAAAGUGGGAGCCGAUUGCAGAACAUGCAUGUCAUACAGAAGUAAGAGAACGCCGAUGCAAAUAAAGACGGUAGUUACCAAAUAAUCUUCAGGCUGCGAAUAUCCUGGGAAGAAUUUACCCAUGGAGGUAAAAAGUAAAAAAUCUAAUCCACUGCUUUUGCACA